rnacentral:lncRNA from 1 species
UUAACAUGAUCAAAGAUCAAGGACCUAACCAUUAGACAUCUAUGAUGCCUCAGGUCAAACGACUACUUUGCAUAUUGCAACUAUCGAGUUCUUACAUGACAUGUAUGUUUGAACUCUCUUUUGAUCAUUGUUCAGUGUACUCGAUUACUCUUUCGAGCACCUAUGUGUUUGUCUUAGUGUCCAACACUAAAUGACUUGAGACUUGUCAUACUCGCGCUUGAGUCAACAUAACACAUACUAACCUUAGCGGAUUGUCAAUGCCCAAUUGGCAAUCCUAUGGCUAGGAACGUUUUAGGAAUGAACAUAAGAGAAAGGUCUCGUUAAUCUAACUUACUUAAAUCACUUAUCUCUUAGAUCAAAUACAUUCCUUGGAUUCCCUUAUUGCUUAAACACAUGAUACAAUAAAUAGUGAUUAACAAUAAGUUUUGUCCUUCAUUAAACAUAUAAAAGUUUAAUACAAUAAGUAUUCCAAAAGUUAUUACAUCAAAUGAGUGGCUUUGUGGGCAUACUUCCAACAAUCUCCCACUUGCACUCAAAGUCAUCCUCCCAUGUAUCUAAUACCCAUCUUUUCCAUAUAGCGGUUAAGUUGGAUUUGAGACAUUGGCUUCGUCAGUGGAUCUGCUACGUUAUCGGCUGAGGUAACUUUGAGGAUGUUGACUUUCCCUUCGGCAGCAUAUCUUCUAAUGAUAUUAAAGCGCCUGUCAAAAUGCUUGUUCUUUUGAUGAGCCCUGGGUUCCUUGGCAUGAGCUAUCGCCCCACUAUUAUCACAGUACAAAGUUACUGGUGAUGUAAUGGUUGGAACCACUCCAAGUUCAGUGAUGAACUUCUUCAUCCAAAACGCUUCUUUGCCGGCUUCAGCUGCAGCGACAUAUGCCUCCAUCGUGGAAUCAGCAAUUACACUUUGUUUCUUGCUUUUCCAGCUAACAGCCCCACCAUUCAGAGUGAAUACAUAUCCGAAGUUGGAACUUCUAUCAUCGAUGUCAGAUUGGAAAUCUGCAUCUGUAUAGGCUUUCACUCGCAACUCUGUCGCUCCUCCAUAAACGAGGAACAUGUCCUUAGUUCUUCUCAAGUACUUAAGGACCGUCUUGACAGCUGCCCAGUGUUCUGAUCCUGGGUUAGAUUGAUAUCGACUAGUUACAUAUGCGAUAUUAGGCCUUGUGCAUAUCAUGGCAUACAUGAGACUUCCUAUGGUGGAAGCAUAAGGAAUAGUAUUCAUUUGCCAUAUCUCUUCAGGAGUCUUAGGUCCCAUGGACUUAGAAAGGUGAAUUCCAUGUCUAACAGGAAGAAAACCUUUCUUAGAUUGUUCCAUCUGGAACCUACUUAGCACCUUAUCAAUGUACAUAGAUUGGGAUAAUCCAAUUAGUCUUCUGGAUCUAUCACGAUAGAGCUUUAUCCCAAGUACAUAAGAUGCAUCUCCUAAAUCUUUCAUAAGGAAGGUUUUGGACAACCACACUUUUACAGAAGAAAGUACUGCAGUGUCAUUCCCGAAUAGUAAUAUGUCAUCUACAUAUAACACUAGGAAUACAACUGCAUCCCAACGACCUUUUGAUAAACACAAUUGUCGUCUUCGUUUUGAGUAAAACCAAAUGUUUUGAUUUCAGUGUCGAAACGAAUGUUCCAGCUCCUGGAGGCUUGCUUAAGUCCAUAAAUGGACCUUUGAAGCUUGCAUACCUUAGUCUUUUCAGACUUGGACACGAAACCUUCGGGUUGAGUCAUAUAGAGCUCUUCCUCUAGGUAGCCGUUCAGAAAGGCCGUCUUCACGUCCAUUUGCCAUAUCUCAUAAUCAUGGUACGCAGCUAUAGCAAGAAAAAUCCGAAUGGACUUAAUCAUGGCUACAGGAGAAAAGGUUUCUUCAUAGUCAAUCCCUUCUCUUUGCCUGUAACCCUUGGCUACUAAUCUAGCCUUAUAAGUCUCCACGUUCCCAUCAACGCCUAUCUUCCUCUUGAAGACCCAUUUGUUUCCAACAGGUACAAUACCUUCUGGAGGGUCUACAAGAGUCCAGACCUGAUUUUGAUACAUGGAAUCCAUCUCAGAUUUCAUGGCCUCUUGCCAUCUCUUUGAAUCAAUGUCGGACAUUGCUUCAGUGUAGUCCCUAGGGUCCUCCUUUGUGUCAUUGUCACCUAGAAGGUGCAAUUCCGCAAAGUCAUUGUCUAAGCCAUACCUCUUAGGUGGCUUACUAACCCGUUCAGAUCUACGUGGAGCUAGGGGUUCAGGAACAGGGUUGUCAACUUGUCGAGUGCUUGUUUGUGGUUCAUUAUUAAUCUCAUUAAUUUCCAUCUCUUUGCUUAUAGUUCCUUUGAGAACAAAUUCGUUCUCUAGAAACUUAGCAGUUCUGGCGACAAAGACUUUCUGGUCGUCUGGAUGGUAGAACUCAUAUCCCAUAGUUUCUCUAGGAUAUCCCAAAAAAUAUCAUCUUACUGAUCUCGCUUCAAGCUUAGUAGCCUCAAGCUUCUUGACAUAUGCUUCACAACCCCAAAUCUUAAUAUGAUUAAGACUUGGCUUUCUUCCAUGCCAUAUCUCAUAGGGCGUUUGUGAAACUGACUUGGAAGGUACUCUAUUAAGCAAGUAAGCUGCUGUAUAUAGAGCGUAUCCCCAGAAUGUUACUGGUAGAUCAGCGGAACUUAUCAUAGAACGAACCAUGUUCAUCAAGGUUCGAUUUCUCCUUUCAGAAACUUCAUUAAGUUGUGGAGUUCCUGGUGGAGUCCACUGUGAUAUUAUUCCACACUCUUUGAGAUAAUCUAGGAACUCAUUACUCAGAUAUUCACACCCUCGAUCUGAUCUGAGGAUAUUUAUCUGUUUCCCAGUUUGCUUCUCAACUUCAUUCUUGAAUUCCUUGAACCUUUCAAAGGAUUCUGACUUGUACUUCAUAAGAUACACAUAGCCAAACCGAGAGUGAUCGUCGGUGAAUGUGAUAUAGUAGGAGAAGCCUCCUCUCGACGUAGUAGACAUAGGUCCACAUACGUCAGUGUGGUUAACCCUAGAAUUUCAGUGGCACGCUCUCCUUUUCCAAUAAAUGGAGAUUUGGUCAUCUUCCCUUUUAAGCAACAUUCACAAGUACCCAUCUGGUCAUUACCUAAUGGGCGGAUAUAUCCGUCUUUCGACAUCUUGUGAAUCUUAUCAAGGUUCACAUGUCCAAGUUUAAGAUGCCACAUCUUUUCUUGGUUAACUUCUUCUCUAGCCCUUUUAGGUUUUGAGGUAUUCUCGCUUGCAAUACAGUGCAUCCCACUAUUCGUCUCUAGGUGAAAAAGUCCCUCUAUCAUAUUACCAUGAGAUAUAAUACGACUGUUCAAGUAUAAAGUGCAACUCAUUUUGUCAAACAAUACUGAGUGCCCAUCUCGUAAAAGCUUAGAGAUGGAAAUCAAAUUCUUUAUACAUGAAGGAAAAUAUAAACAAUUUUUAAGUUCCAGGACUUCCCCAGAGGGUAGGUUAAGCAUGUAGGUGCCUAUUGCUUUUGCAGAGAUUUUAGUGCCGUUCCCAACUCGCACAACCAUCUACCCAUUGCGCAGUGACUUGCUCCCCGCUAGUCCCUGCAUCGUAUUACAAAUAUGUUGACUAGCACCUGAAUCAAAUAUCCAGGAAUUGGAGCUUACUGUAAAAGCACUCUCUAUGACAGAAAUAGUCUCUUCAAAAGUUCGUGUCAUAAUGCUCGCAAUGCGCACCCUGUAUUUCUUCUUCCAACGUUCAUCCUUUCCACAAUGAAAGCAUGUUCCUUUGGAUUUCUUUGCCUUCUUCUUAUGCAACCUUUUCCUUGUGAUUGCAUUCUCACUCCCACUGUCCCUUUUGAAACCUUUUCAAAUUUACAGCACAUGUCAAUCAUCUCGUUUAAAGCAUGAUCGAAUCUAUUCACUUUAUAGUUUACAAUAAACUUAGUGAAAUCAUCCGAGAGAGAUGCAAGGAAAAAGUCUUGGGCCAUUUUCCCAUCGAUGGAAGUUCCUAAACUUUUAAGAUCUUUAAAUAUCUUUUCCAUCUUUUGUCCAUGUUUAUGGACCAAUGUCCCCUUUGCCAUUUUGGCAUUCAUUAGACUACAAACAUUUGAGAAUCGUACAUUACUAGUCUCAAUGUCAUGCAUCUUAUGCAAACUUUCAACCAUGGCACAAGAAGUGUCCAUGUGCUUAUGUAGCUUCAUAAGCUCCUCACUAAGUGAAGUGAGGAUUAAGCAUUUGGCUUGUAGGUCAUCCUCAUAGUGUCUAACAUAUUUUUGAAACUCUUCAUUUGAAGCUAGUUUUGUAGGAGGUAAAUAAGGAGGGGAUUUCUUAAGCACAUACAAUAUGUCUUUCAACUUUGAGACAUUCUCAAUGUGGCGAUACCAAGCAAGGAAACGUUGGCCCUUAAGGCCCUUUUUGUCAAGUAUAAUGGUGGGUAUAAUUUUAGGCAUGUCGUUAACUACAUAACAUAACAGAAAUCGUAUUAGAUUGUUUGUUUUAAAACUACUUGAUUGGGUCUUAAAUCAAAUAGUACCACCCAUUAUUUUUGGCAAAUUCCACAUCCCUCAAUGGAAUUCGAGAGUUAUAUUGAACUCAAGCGGGGUAUGGGAGACUCACCAUUACCAAGCCCACCUCACGAUGAUAUGAUGUUGGUUAGCAAAAAUGAUGAUGAGAGAAUAACGCUUUAUUCAUUUACAACUUUUGUAAUUACCCAUCCGUUUGGCCUCUAGAGAAUGUUGCCUCACGAUGAUACGAUGUCGGCUCCAAUGCACUUAGUUAAGUUAUUCCCACCAUGCUUAGUUUGUGAAGGGGUUCAAGAAUAGCCUCACGAUGAUACGAUGUCCGCUAUCCUCGUUGCCUACACUCACCUCAUCAUAUGUUUAUGGACUCCUCCUGGAUGUAAGCACAUACUUUGAACUCCCCCAUGAUAGGGUGAAGCCGGUGCAUGAGUCACAAACGAUUGGAGCCCACCACGGUGGAAGGCCUACGAAGAGAUGUUCAAACAUCUCUCGCUUAUCAACUUAAUAUUCGUUUGUCGAGGGAGUAGUUUUGGGCUACAUCAAAAUCAUUUUAAUCUUAUUAAAAGAACUUGGGCCUAUCACAACUAUUGGUCCAAGUUAAUAUGAAUUAGUAGCAUAUAAUACUCCCACUGUUUCGUUGAAACAAGCGAGACUAUAUGGAACUACUAACGAACGCAUUGCAUCCUCAUAUGGACUAUAUAGUCAUAUUAGGUUUUAGGAUGAUUAUGAACCGUUUGAUUUGAUCCAACACGAGCCUUGUGUUGGACCUUGGGUUUAAGGUAGAUAGUUGUUGAUUUUAGUUACGCGUUUAAUCCAAUUAAACCGUUAUUUCCUAUUGGGCGUUGGACCCAACUAUUCCAAUUUGCAUACAAUUAAACAAAUAGGAAUACAUGAAAUCAUAAGAAGGUCUUAUGCCCUUUUACAACACAAAUGAUGGACUUAUGUCCAUUUACAACAAAUUGAAUUAAUCAAAUUACAUUCAAAUCUACACUACUUAACCCAAACAUUCAUAAUGUAAAGCGGCCAAUCACAUAGCUCAAUUAUCGAGGCCUUUGGUUCAUAAUCACCCUUUUCUUAAUUAAUCACAUUAACUAAGAAAGCAACUUAAACAAUUGGUUUUUGGAUCCAUAGAAUUGAUUUAAAUGGAACUAAAUGAAAUGAAAAUCCAAUUCUCAUUAAAGAGACAAAACAAUUUUGUUCCCAUUUUAUUUGGGCCAAAAGGAAACUAUGACCACAACAAUUGGGCCACAAUGCAAAAACACAAACUUUUGGGGUCACUUUGAAAAAACACAAAAGUCCACAACUUCAUGUAAUUUCAACUAGAACCCAAAAUUUUAAUAAUGUAAAAACAUCGUUAAAGGAUCAAAACAAUUCGUCCUUUAGAGUUUUUGGGCCUUAACGUAAAAACGUAAACUUUUGGGCCAAAGUGCAAAUAUACAAAAGUAUCAAAAUUUUAUGUAAUUGCAUAAAAGGCCCCAAAAGUACCCCCACUAGGGGGUGGCCGGUUUUUGGAGUGAAGAAGUGAAAAAAAUUUCUAAAAAGUUUUUGCAACUUGAUUUUAUUAGGUGAGAUACAAAGGUGAUGUAGAUAGGUUGUAAGAAAUAUUUAUGUCAAACAUUAAAGAUAUUUGUCUAACAUUAAAAAUACUUCACCAAUAACCAUCACCCAUCAAAAUUAAACCAAAACUUUAUGAAAAACAUAAAACUUUUGAAUCAAAACUUCAAAACUUUUUGUUCUUGGCAAGAACUUCAAGAACAUUGAAGAACACUCAUGAAAACUCAUAAUAGCUCCAUGAAUGUUUUCACUCACCAAAACUCAAUUUUUCAACACUGAAAAGAGGGCUAAUAUCCUAGGGUACUUAGGGGUUCCAAAAGUCACCUUAAAACCAUUUUAACAAGACAAACAUGAACCCAAAAAAUCACCCUUUGGAUUUGGCCGAAUUUCCAAACAUUCAUGGCACCAAAUUUUAGUUCCAAUAUUCAUGCUUAAAUGAAAUACAUCUACAACAUUUGAGAUGCUAAAUUUUCUAGCAAAAUUUAUAUUCUAAGCAAGAACAAAGCUUGUAACAUUUACAACAUUUAAAUCACAAAUCAUGAAAAUCACAAAACCCAAAAGGAUUCACCAUAAACUAGGCCUAGGCUCUGAUACCACUUGAAGGAAAAAUUUUGUCCUAGCUAAGAACAUGUAAGAAUAUUUGAAUACAUAUGCAAACUAUUAACACUUUAAAGUAGGCAUGCAUUCAAAAACAAUUCAUGAAACCCAUGACUUUCAAAGCCUAGUAUAUGGUGAACCAAUAAACUCUUUAACAACAUUAAAGAGAAGGAAAGAUUAAGAGUUUCUUUACCCUUGAAGCUCAUCCUUGUUUACACAAGGGAUUCACCCAAGUGGAGGGCCUUCAAGUCACCUCCUUGCUCCUUGGAUCUUCCUUGUGAUUUUCCUCCUUUUAGUGCUCCUUUGCUUCUUUGAGGAUUUGAGGAUUAGUUCUCCAAAAACAUCAAAAGCUUGAUGUCUCUAAGUCUCCACACCAAGGAUGAAGUGUGAAGAUGAAAUGGAUGACUUAGAGAAGAAAAGAUUGCUAGCUAAUUCCCCUCUAAGUGGCCGGCCUCUUUAGAGAAAAUGAGAGAAAGUGUUUCACCUCAUUUCACCUCUUUAGAGAAAAUAAGAGAAAGUGUUUAACAUGAUCAAAGAUCAAGGACCUAACCAUUAGACAUCUAUGAUGCCUCAGGUCAAACGACUGCUUUGCAUAUUGCAACUAUCGAGUUCUUACAUGACAUGUAUGUUUGAACUCUCUUUUGAUCGUUGUUCAGUGUACUCGAUUACUCUUUCGAGCACCUAUGUGUUUGUCUUAGUGUCCAACACUAAAUGACUUGAGACUUGUCAUACUCGCGCUUGAGUCAACAUAACACAUACUAACCUUAGCGGAUUGUCAAUGCCCAAUUGGCAAUCC